AAUCAGGAAAAUCCAUCGCAGGGUGACUGUUUCACGGGAGGGUGAGGGUGAGUGUGGGGACUCAGCUCAUUGCUGCUCCAGGAUCUGGAGGCGAUUAGAUGCCUCAUGCCGAAGACUAAGGAAAAGGGUUGACAGCGCAGAGAAAGAGGCUCAGGACUUGCUGGCCUUGGUCUCUGCACACCCAGCCAGCCACCCAGCCAGCCAGCAGCUCUCCCGUGGGGUCGAGGCUCUCCGGGGAAGCCAGUGUGACAGCACAUUCCUCUCUGUCUAGGAUUCACACAAACCCUGGUGGUCUGGGAUCAGAAGCCCCCAGCUCCUACUAUUAACAGCAUUGCUGCUCUGCUGAAGGUGCUCACACUGCUCCAGAAAUGCAACCUUGUGAUGCCCUGCCAGUCUGGACACAUUUCCCCAGCUCUCCCAGUGUUUAUCAGCUUCACCUGCCUUCCCACUGCCUCACAGCACCCCUCUCUGCACGUGGCCCACCUUUGUCUCGGGCACUCGCUAACUGAAGCCUGCAAUGUGGAUGGGCUGGAACCCUCUUUUCUAUACAUAGCAAUGGAAAAUAUCGCAGAACAAACACGGACCCCUGCAGUGCCACAAAGGAGGCUCACUUAAGUUGGCAGCAAUUUUGCUAACCUCCUGCUGGAAUGUUUGCCAGUCUGGCCAAGGUUCUGAGCUGCCUGGGGCCCAGGAGCACCUCUGCUGUUUAACGCUGACCUUGAAUGGGAUCCUGUUUCUGGAGGUGGUGACGGCUGUGCUGCGUGGUUUCUGCUCCCUUGACUUUGGGAUCCCAGCAAGGUCAUCGUCCGCAUCUACCAGCUUCACUUCCUUGGCUGCUCCUCUCUUCUGUCUUUCCAGCUUAAAUUUGCCAGCGAGAUUGGGGUCUGGCCAGGCAGACAUUGCUCUGCCCCAGGGUCCAGGCACUGGGGACCGCAUCCUUCUUCACCAGCAUUUUCACCUGGCUCCCCAGGGAUGUUUGCAAAGCAUGGUCUCUGGUGCUGCUCAUGAGCACCACAUGCAGACAGCCAGGGAGGCAACAGUUAUCUCUAGGUUGUAGAAGGGAAACUGUAGCUUGGUGAGGUACCCAAGGCUGUCUACAGUCUCUAACCCAGACCUCUGCCCAUGGCUGAGUCAUUGCCUCUGUGCCUCGCAGAGCACUUCUGGCCCCGUACACACGCGACCCAGCCUCCACUUGGCCUCUUGACUUUUGUUAAGGGAAUCAUGUACCUCCUGGUUGUGAAAUCUGAUGGAGGCAGGAUGCUGAAGGGGGCAUAGGUGGUCUCAAUCCUCCUGCUGUGCCCACCGCCAUCCCCUGAAUUAAUUUUGUUUCACACAGCCCUUCUCUAGACCACAGAGCCUCCCAGGCAGACACACCUGGCCUUUGGGGACUACUGCCUGGGCCAGUGUCUCUUCCUCCACUCAGAAUUUCCCCCUCCCUGCUUGCUCUUAUCAAAUCUUUUACAAUAUAGCUUUAUUUGUCUAGUUUUGGCUGUGCAGGCCUCUGUUGUUGUGUAGGCUUUUCUCUAGUUGCAGCGAGGAGGGCUACUCGCUAGUGGUGGUGUGUGGAUCACUCACUGCAGUGGCUUCUCCUGCUGUGGGGCACAGCUCUAGGGUGUGUGGGCUUCUGCAGCUGUGGCAUGUUGGCUCUAGAGCAUGGGCUCAGUAGUUGUGGCGCAUGGGCUUAGAUGCCCCGCUGCAUGUGGGAUCUUCCUGGACCAGGGAUCGAAAUCAUGUCUCCUGCAUUGGCAGGUGGAUUUUUUACCACUGAGCCACCAGGGAAGCCCCCUUAUCAAGUCUUACUGACCCUGCUUCUCCAAACUCUCAGAACCUGCUGGUGAGCAGGUAGACGGACCUAAAAAUUAGAGGUUGAUUAUUCUAGGUCCCUCUUGGGGGUAUUGAUAGUGGUUUGGGGGAGCAGUGAGCAGCUCUGGACUCCUGUCUAGUCAUUUGCCAGCUCAGUACCUAUUACUACCUCACAUCCGAACGACCUAAUCACAUCAUUCUUCCCUCUUUCUCCAUCUUGAUUACUUCUGGCUAAAACUGGCCAGUUUUGAAACUGUAACUAAAUGAAGAACAUCUCUGUGAUGCCGUAAGGGGAUGCCUCUGCCUAUGGUUGGAAAGUGGAGGGCCAAGAAUUGAGCCCGCAUAUGCUGGCCUGUGGGCCGUUGUCACCUUCCGCUCUGAGCCUGCGAUGCUGUGCAGCAGCUAAGCCCAGACUGUAGAUCCAGCAUGUCUAUCUGGGCUUGAACCUGGGCUCUGCCACUCCCUAACUCUGUGACCCUGGGCCGGUUCUCACCCUCUCUGCAGCUGAUGGGCAACACGGGAAGAUGCUAGUACCUGCUUCCAAGGGCAGUAGUGAAGGCUGUAUGAGUUAAUGCAUGUAAAGCCCCCAAACCAGCCGAGCACCAGGCAUAUAAU
ensembl:lncRNA